rnacentral:lncRNA from 1 species
CUAAAGUAUUGCCACAGUUGCGAGUGACAACUCAAACCCAAAGGUGGUCCAAUGUCUCAUCAUCAAUUCAUCAUCAUCAUCAUCAUCAUCAUCCCCAUCUUCCUCUUCUUCAUCCUCUUUCUCAUUGUCUUAUAAAAAAAGGAAAUUAAUUAACUGUUUCUGGUUAGAUGAUGACAAAGGAAACUCAGAGUGAAAAGAAAAAGAAACAAGAGUAAUAAAGGAACAAGAGGAAAUAAGACGGGCCAGGUUGUCCAUAAACCUCAACACUUUAAAGAGGGUUUUCACAAUUAAAAAUUAACUACUGUAUGUAUGGAGGUUUGAUGGGUUUGGAUUUGGAGAGUAUUUAAUUAUUUUUCCUUUUACGAGUGAAAGUGAAGUUUCUUUUCAAGCAUAACUCAGUUUCCUUUAGAAAGGAUACCCUCAACAAAACAAAACAACAGAAAUAAGUUAAAGAUUAUGGCUAAAUUUCGUGGACUUUUCUGAUGGUACGUGUGAAGAUGGACUUGGCACGUGCCAAUCACGAGUGUUUUAUGUGAUUUUUUUGGCCUUGAGUUUUGGCCUAACUAUAUAAUACAGGACUCCAUUGCUUGGUGUCCAAUGCGUGUGAUGGGAAACACGUGUAUAUAGUUUUUUUUUUAUUAUAUACUUGCAUUUUUUAUUGGUUUUGAAAGAGAGGUAAACUCUCUUUACAUAGUGGCUUUGNNN